AAAAGUCGUAACAAGGCAUCCGAAGAAGAACCGGCGGAAGGAGCAUUAUUGAACUACCAAGGUGUGAGGGGUGUCGCUGGCCUUUCAAAGGUCGUGCACGCCCGAGUGCCUCUCAUACAAUCCAUCUCACCCCUUUGUGCAUCACCGCGUGGGCCCCUCCUCACAGGGGCCUGCGUUAUCACAUAAAACUUUUAACAAUGUGUAGAAUGUAUUUCUUUUUGCGAUAGUAUGCAGUCAAUAUAACUUUCAACAACGGAUCUCUUGGCUCUCGCAUCGAUGAAGAACGCAGCGAAAUGCGAUAUGUAAUGUGAAUUGCAGAAUUCAGUGAAUCAUCGAAUCUUUGAACGCACCUUGCGCCCCUUGGCAUUCCGAGGGGCACACCCGUUUGAGUGUCGUGAAAUGUUCAAAACCCUUUUUCUUUUUGAGAGAGGAUUUUGGAAUUGGAGGAUCAAUGCUCGUUCUUGCUUUCGUGAGGAUGAGCUCCUCUUAAAGGAAUUAGUGGGGUUUGCUCUGUUGAUCCUUGACGUGAUAAGACAUUUCUACGUUUUGGAUUUGACACCGUUCAUCCACUUCUAAUCGUCCCAUGGACAAACAAUGGUGUCUCGGUUCAUCACUGGGGCCCAUGAAAUGAAACCUUGACCUCAAAUCGGGUGAGACUACCCGCUGAACUUAAGCAUAUCAAUAAGCGGAGGA
rnacentral:rRNA from 1 species